UGGCGGCCUUAGCGCGGUGGUCCCACCUGACCCCAUGCCGAACUCAGAAGUGAAACGCCGUAGCGCCGAUGGUAGUGUGGGGUCUCCCCAUGCGAGAGUAGG
rnacentral:rRNA from 2 species